UACGAAGGGAGCUAGCGUUGUUCGGAAUCACUGGGCGUAAAGCGCACGUAGGCGGACGUGUCAGUCAGGGGUGAAAUCCCGGAGCUCAACUUCGGAACUGCCUUUGAUACAGCACGUCUUGAGUCCGGAAGAGGUGGGUGGAAUUCCUAGUGUAGAGGUGAAAUUCGUAGAUAUUAGGAAGAACACCGGUGGCGAAGGCGGCAUCCUGGACCGACACUGACGCUGAGGAGCGAAAGCCAGGGGAGCAAACGGG
rnacentral:rRNA from 1 species